rnacentral:rRNA from 1 species
GAUGAACGCUGGCGGCGUGCUUAACACAUGCAAGUCGAACGGAAAGGCCACAGCUUGCUGUGGUACUCGAGUGGCGAACGGGUGAGUAACACGUGGGUGAUCUGCCCUGUACUUCGGGAUAAGCUUGGGAAACUGGGUCUAAUACCGGAUAGGAAUCACAUGUGGGUGUGUGGUUGGAAAGCUUUUGCGGUAUGGGAUGGGCUCGCGGCCUAUCAGCUUGUUGGUGGGGUAAUGGCCUACCAAGGCGUCGACGGGUAGCCGGCCUGGGAGGGUGUACGGCCACAUUGGGACUGCGAUACGGCCCAGACUCCUACGGGAGGCAGCAGUGGGGAGUAUUGCACAAUGGGCGCAAGCCUGAUGCAGCGACGCCGCGUGGGGGAUGACGGCCUUCGGGUUGUAAACUCCUUUCGUCUGGGACGAAGCGAAAGUGACGGUACCUGGAUAAGAAGCACCGGCUAACUACGUG